rfam:Haemonchus contortus, ISE/inbred ISE, WGS project CAVP01000000 data, contig: Hcontortus_contig_pathogens_Hcontortus_scaffold_2841
GGCACAGUCUUGGAGUAGAGUAGAGUAGUAUGGCCAGCUGACCCUACUAAUCUACCUACUUCAAAUUUGUGCCC